CCUACCGCCGCGCUCGUGCAUUUGGUUUCUUUUACGGGGGGGGGGGGAGCGCUUGCGUGCCCGUAUCUUCCACCUGGGAGUCUUCCGUGGACGAAAUCAGCGCCUGUGCGAAUGCAGCCGACCUUUGGGGCCCCGUCUUUCUGAGCCGCCACUCUUCAUGACGGCCUGUUGUCGGUUUCGCUUACGGUUAGCGUUCCGAUGGAACAUAAUCUGGGGACAGAGAAAGAGGCUGCAGAUUCCAUCAUAAAACGUGCAUAUGGCAGCCUGACACCUUACUGACUUACUUAACCUUUUUUUAACCUUGUGGUACAUUUGAUGAACUUCUGCUGCAAACACUCACGCAUAUGACGAAAUCUUGGGGAGCGGCUUAUGGAAUGAUGAGGAUAAAAUACAGAGCAAAUAAGCAUAGGCGAAGAGUGUGUUUGCUCAUUUACUCAUUUACAAGUGUGAAGCAAUGUGUUGAUCCUCUCCCGCUGGUAUUUAUUGGAGGCUCUUUUUUUUAAUCAAAGGUCACCUCCUUAGCUGUAACUCAAUCAUAGCAAUGAAUGAAUGGAUGGCAUAUUUGAUGUCCUAGAGGUAUGGGACCCGGGCCGGGAUGCCAGACCCUUGGGCUGGUGUUUGCAAAUGAGUGCCGUUGUUAGGAAACAUAGACAUGAAGAACUGCUUACUUCAACCACCAGCCUCCAUAUGUGACCAGACCAACAUGCCAAACUGCGAGGACUGAAUUACUGCUAAGAAAAGUAUUAUUUUUACUUGAAAACCUGUCCUAAAAGUAAAAAUGAUCAUUAACGGCAUUUAUGGGUGAGACUGUUUUUGUUUUUUUCUAGGAGCAAGACUUAAUAAGUUCUUCGAUACCUUGAGUUUUUGUUUAAUUUAUUAACUAAACAUUAGUAAUCUAAUUAAAAGCUGAAGAACUCACCCUCUCUGUUCUGUUUUGAGAAAUAACACUCGCAAGGUUUGGUUCACUAAGUGAAGGCAGAUGCCCACUGCAGGGAUUCACAUGGACUCGCACUACUAGUGGAAGGAACACAAGCAUAAACACUCCUACAAAUAAAAACAAUACAAUUCACAUAAUUGGAUACACGCUAAAAUAAAUCUGCGUCAUUUAACUGACUCUAAAAAAAGGCCUUCAGGAAAUGGUGAGCAACCGAGGAAUGCUUCUGCAGGACCACAGUGACUCAUUUUGGGUGAAAAGAAAGAACACUCUGCCCUACAACUUCCGUUGGGACAGAACGGCGUCUGAUGGGAUGGCAAAGAGAGAACAGAACACGUCAAACAUUCAAUCAUUUGCAGCCUGAGUCCGUUCAGCUCGCGGCAGAAAUGCAGGAAUGCGGCAAUGAGGGUGCCGAACUGAGAGGCCUUCAGAGCCUCCAGUCGCUGACCACGGGGGCCCGAUGUUUCCCCCGUCGACACGAAAUGGACCAAAGACGGCCAGACUGAACGUUCACUCGGCCACGAGUGGGUCGUCUUGCUUUUGUCGCGCGAGUAGCAGCUGAUAGAAGUCAGUGUUUAUCGAAUCUAAAAAAAAAGUGUCCCCUUCCAACAAAGACCCUGCCGGCUGAGUUUGGACGUAGUGGGCGGGGCUAAAUGAGCCAUGCGUUUCUAUUGGUGGGUUCUACGUGGCUCUUGGCACACUAACGGGAGGUUGCAGCGAUGAGUGACGUGUGACAUGCAGGCGCGUCUACGGUAGCGGGCGGAGGAGCGGAACACUUCGCCUUUGCAGCCAGUAUGAAGAUUGAAACCAGCGACCAGCUGUUCACAAGCCCACUUCGCGAGCUCAAAGAGGCCCUAAUGGGAUGUUGAGCGACAUGCCAGAGCACAAGCUGCCGCUGCCACCAGCGGCACUUUCCAGCGGAUUGAAUAUCGUCGACUGACAGAAUGACAGAUGCACUUUAUUUCACCUAAAAAA